ensembl:lncRNA
CUCAACUUGGAUACUGCCUCCUUUAGAGUGUUUGGUGAGCCUUGGUCCUCAGAAAGUGGCUGAACAGAGAUAGAAGAGAUGCUUCAGUUCCUCAGUGGUCUUUGUAGCCCUCUGUUGGACUCUUUCAAGUGUAACUCUGUAUCUCUUGCACUGGGAAAUCCAGUACAGGUGUGACCUCACCAAUGCUGAGUAGAGCGGAAGGAUCACCUCUCCUUUAACCUGCUGCUUGAUGUAUCUUAUUUCCAAGGAUCAAACGUGCAAACCUGUCUUUAUGAUUGAAGCUAAGCAGAACAACUGUAAAGCAACCUAGUAAUCAAAUACUGGAAUAUGUGACUUGCAAGUAAUUAACACUGCCAUAAAAUCCCUGCACUGAAUAUUAAAAGGAAAUUUAAAAAAUUUUAAAAGGUGACUAAUGUAGCACAGCAAAUUUACGUAGGAUUGCCAGCUGCUGUGGAAGUCUGGCAAGAGCUGUGAGAACUGCUAUAAUCUACUAACAUUUGAUAUUUCAUCACAUCAGAUUAUACAAAUUCUUGCAGCUUUAUUUUGGUACAGUAAAAUACCAUAAAUUUGCUUCCACAAGCUGGCUUGUCAUUUGGAUAAUCUCAAGAACAGUAAAACGUUCUCAUCAGCUGUUCAUCUGAUUGUUACUCUUAUGUUGCUCUUAUUUUAGCUGAUUUAAUGGAGGAGUUAGUAACAUCAAAUAUAAACACCAUCUAAUUCCUGCAAUGACAGAACAUUAUAGCAGACAAAGCAGCACUGCUCCAAAACAAUGAGAAGUGGGUCUUAAUCAGCCUCCUCUACGUGCUAUUAUGGUGAAGGAAGAAAGAGUUUGAGAAGGCUUUUCUGCUUAGUGUGCAAAGACGAAGCAAUACUCAGUAAUAACUGAUGAAAAUUUGUGUUGAAAAGAUGGUACAAGUUCAGUGUUACGGUGAUGAAAGUGCCUAGAUGUCCUUCAUCAAAAUUGAGGCAGAGCAUUUAAAGAAUAGAUCCAAACAGGAAGUCUCACAUCCUUAGUUAUACGUUUGAGAUCUUUUAAUAUGAUUUAAUUUCCACAUAAGAUAGGGUUUGCUGCCCCAUCUGGCAGUCAUAUUUGUAUUAACACAUAAGGCAGUCAGUGACAUUUUUCUAACCUUUAGUUUGUAAGAUUUAGCUAUUAAUUUUCCCUUCAUUUAUUUAAUACUUUAAUGUAAGUAUUUUAGAAAUUAAAUACAUUAUUUAUAAUGUAUUACAUUCUCUGAUGUUUCAUCAUUUUCAUCCAACAACUUUUUACUGCUAAGACUUAAUAUCUUCAAUUUUAUGUCUAAUUCCAGCUAUGUGAAAUUUGAUAACUGUAAUGACACUCAUGUAAAAUUAUUCUCCUGUCUUGUCUCUAAGUAGUAAAAUUCUAGCCUUGUGUUUGCUACAGUAUGCAUUGUAUGGGACUCUUUCAAUGCACCUAUCAGCCAUACUCUGUAAAGCUCAUGAUUAUCUUAAUUAUGGAAUAUGCAUCAUAAAAAGUAAUUAUGUUCAAUCCUUUUUAAUGUCUCUGCAUUUUUGUGUUGUUUUACUGACAUUAAAGUUGUAUAUUCUUCAAGUAAAAGAAAACUGGUCAAAAUCC